rnacentral:lncRNA from 1 species
GAGAAGAGCGCCGCCCCCUAGGCUCCGGCGCCGAGAGCGACGAGGAGCCGCCGAGGCCUCGCCGGGGACCGGCCUCCCUCGCCCACUCCCGGGCCCCCCCACUCCCGGAGCCCCUCCCCCGGCCGCCCCGUCGGGCCGGAACACCCCUUUCCCCGCCCCUCCCCAGGCUGCGGCCGAGCGCCCAAACUAACUUGAGCCGUCGCCGCCCGCGACGAGGGGCUCCUCCGGACGCGCUGUCCGCCGCCCGACGCUCCCCGGCGGUGGGGCUCCAUCGGCGCCCCGGGACCUCAUCUCAGUGUGGGCCAGCCGCGUUUCAAACACUCUACAGCCACACAUGAGACCAUCUUCUAAAUGUAGGGUUAUCUUACUUUGUUCUUGUACUGCAAGUAACCAUUUCUAGGAGUUCUUAGGGCUUCGCUGGUGGCUCAGUGGUUAUAGUCCACCUGCCAAUGGAGGAGACUUGAAUUCAACCCAUGGGUCGAGAAGAUGCCCUGGAGAAGGAAAUGGCAACCCACUCCUGUAUUCUUUCCUAGGAAAUUCCAAGGACAGAGGAACCUGGCAGGCUACAGUCCAUAGGGUCGCAAAAAGUCAGACACGAAUUAGUGACUAAACUACAACAAGGAGUUCUCUACAACCACUGGGAAAGUUUUUCAAAAUGUGCAUUCCUGUCUGGACCCUCAUUAGGAUCAGGUGUGUAAGCCUGGUCAUGUGUGUUUUGAAAAAGGUACAUAGGUGAUUCUGACAGUUACCUUUUUUUUUGUUGUUGACCUCUCUAAUGCAGCAUGCGGGAUCCUAGUUCCCCAACUGAACCACCAGGGAAGUCCCCUGACAAGUUCCUUUAAUUAAAAACCACUGAGCUAGCCCGGUUUCUUCAUUUUACCCAUGACUAAACACAUCCAGUCCGUCCAGCUUUCCCAAGUAAGGGUACCUUCACACCUGAGUCUUCCAGUAACAAACUUGGCAUCCUUCUUACUAUACCCUGCUUCUCACUAUUGUUAACAUAUGUGUAAGGAAGCAUACUAUUAUUGUACGUAGAUCUUCAAUAACAACAAAGGGAUUGGCAGCAAAAAUGACUUUCAGAUUACUCUUUAAAUUACCAGGAAAUUAAAUGUACCGUAAAAUACUGGUAUAUGUUUCAGCUCACAUUCACAUGCGCAUGCAAACACACACACACACAUAUACACUGUCUACGUGCUCUUGUUAAUGCGAGUUUCAUUGUGAUGGACGUGACUAGGUCAAUUUUGUAUGAACUUCCAUUCCCUUGAUGUCUUUUAGACAUGAGCAUUAGUUUGCAGCAUCAUGAAUUGCUCUUUUGAAACUGCUUUUUAAAAGCCUGUAUCAAAAUUGCAGCCCAUUGAAAUUAUUUUAAUGUAUUUCUGGUCAUCAUGACCUAAUAUAAAAGUUCGUCAGCCUCUCAGUUUUCAAAGAGUGAAAAACAUAUUCAGCUCAAGGUUUUCAGGUGAAAUUUACAUGUCCUGCAGCCAGCGACAGAACGGACAGAUAACAGCAGGCCCCUGUGUG